rnacentral:lncRNA from 1 species
ACGUCGCCGGCGAGAAGAAGGGCAUCAUGGAGAAGAUCAAGGAGAAGCUCCCCGGCGGCCACGGUGACCACAAGCAGGCCGCUGACACCCACGGCCAGCAGGGGCACGCCGGCACGGGGACGCAUGGUGCCCCGGCCACUGGUGGCGCCUAUGAGCAGCAGGGUCGCACCGGAGUCACCGGCACGGGGUUGAAUGGCGCUGAUGCCGGCGAGAAGAAGGGCCUCAUGGAGAAGAUCAAGGACAAGCUCCCUGGUGGCCACGGUGACCAGCAGACCACAGCUGGCACCUAUGGGCAGCAGGGACACACCGGCACCGCGGCGCAUGGCACCCCGGCCGGCGGCGGCACCUAUGACCAGGAGGGACACACCGGGAUGUCUGGCAUGGGGGCGCACGACACCCACGCCACGGGCGGCGCCUAUGGGCAGCAUGCACACACCGGAGGGACCGGCACGGGGACGCACGGAACCGGCGAGAAGAAGGGCGUCAUGGAGAACAUCAAGGACAAGCUUCCUGGUGGCCACGGUGACCAUCAGAAGACGAGUGACACGUACGGGCACCAGGAAGACACCGAAAUGACUGGCAUGGGGAGGCAUAGCACCCCUGCCACCGGCGGUUCCUAUGGGCAGCAUGUACACACCGGACAGACCGACAUGGGAACACACGGCACCGGCGAN